rnacentral:rRNA from 1 species
GAAUGCUGACAUAAGUAACGAUAAAGCGGGUGAAAAGCCCGCUCGCCGGAAGACCAAGGGUUCCUGUCCAACGUUAAUCGGGGCAGGGUGAGUCGACCCCUAAGGCGAGGCCGAAAGGCGUAGUCGAUGGGAAACAGGUUAAUAUUCCUGUACUUGGUGUUACUGCGAAGGGGGGACGGAGAAGGCUAUGUUGGCCGGGCGACGGUUGUCCCGGUUUAAGCGUGUAGGCUGAUUUUCCAGGCAAAUCCGGAAAAUCAAGGCUGAGGCGUGAUGACGAGGCACUACGGUGCUGAAGCAACAAAUGCCCUGCUUCCAGGAAAAGCCUCUAAGCAUCAGGUAACAUCAAAUCGUACCCCAAACCGACACAGGUGGUCAGGUAGAGAAUACCAAGGCGCUUGAGAGAACUCGGGUGAAGGAACUAGGCAAAAUGGUGCCGUAACUUCGGGAGAAGGCACGCUGAUAUGUAGGUGAAGCGACUUGCUCGUGGAGCUGAAAUCAGUCGAAGAUACCAGCUGGCUGCAACUGUUUAUUAAAAACACAGCACUGUGCAAACACGAAAGUGGACGUAUACGGUGUGACGCCUGCCCGGUGCCGGAAGGUUAAUUGAUGGGGUUAGCGGUAACGCGAAGCUCUUGAUCGAAGCCCCGGUAAACGGCGGCCGUAACUAUAACGGUCCUAAGGUAGCGAAAUUCCUUGUCGGGUAAGUUCCGACCUGCACGAAUGGCGUAAUGAUGGCCAGGCUGUCUCCACCCGAGACUCAGUGAAAUUGAACUCGCUGUGAAGAUGCAGUGUACCCGCGGCAAGACGGAAAGACCCCGUGAACCUUUACUAUAGCUUGACACUGAACAUUGAGCCUUGAUGUGUAGGAUAGGUGGGAGGCUUUGAAGUGUGGACGCCAGUCUGCAUGGAGCCGACCUUGAAAUACCACCCUUUAAUGUUUGAUGUUCUAACGUUGGCCCGUUAUCCGGGUUGCGGACAGUGUCUGGUGGGUAGUUUGACUGGGGCGGUCUCCUCCUAAAGAGUAACGGAGGAGCACGAAGGUUGGCUAAUCCUGGUCGGACAUCAGGAGGUUAGUGCAAUGGCAUAAGCCAGCUUGACUGCGAGCGUGACGGCGCGAGCAGGUGCGAAAGCAGGUCAUAGUGAUCCGGUGGUUCUGAAUGGAAGGGCCAUCGCUCAACGGAUAAAAGGUACUCCGGGGAUAACAGGCUGAUACCGCCCAAGAGUUCAUAUCGACGGCGGUGUUUGGCACCUCGAUGUCGGCUCAUCACAUCCUGGGGCUGAAGUAGGUCCCAAGGGUAUGGCUGUUCGCCAUUUAAAGUGGUACGCGAGCUGGGUUUAGAACGUCGUGAGACAGUUCGGUCCCUAUCUGCCGUGGGCGCUGGAGAACUGAGGGGGGCUGCUCCUAGUACGAGAGGACCGGAGUGGACGCAUCACUGGUGUUCGGG